rnacentral:lncRNA from 1 species
GGCAGAGAAGGCGGCAAGGGGUGUGGGUUUCUCAGAGAAGGAUCCCGUGCACUCACAAUAGAAUCCUCGGAGGCUUUCCUAUCCAGGACCCUGCUGCCUCUGACCGCACCCCAAGCCUUCUCUGCUGCUCACAUGGGCUCCUCUCUCCUUUGUGCUUUUUGCCUUCUGUCCCCACUGCCUGGAAAACGUUCCCCUCACAUUUUGCAUGGCUGCUGCCUUCUCAUCACAGAGGUCUCAGGUCAACCAUCACUACCCCCAGGAGGCCUUCCUUGACUGCCCUAUCUCCUGUCACUGGCCUCCACUACCAGUCACUGCCAUGUUCACUUCCUUUUGUUGUCAUCUAGCACCUGUCCCUGUCUGAAUUGUAUCAUUUAUCUGUUAUUAUUUGUUUAUUCUGUUCCUGCCUGUCUCCCUGAGGCCAGGGACCUUGUCUGUCUUUAUUACUAUGCUGACCCUGGUGCUCAGCACUUAAUAAAGAAUCAUUAAAACAAAAUGAAUGAAGGACACUAAAGGCUGUCAUAGAAGUUACUUGGACAACACCACCCACCCCUGGGGGGUGGGGUGGUGGGAACUUGCUUGGUGAUGGCAACAAACAAACAAACACUUUCCCCUUCCCACUUCUCUUCCGGUAUUCCAGACAGGAGG